CUCCACGCAGAGCCACAUGCUGCUUCUCCGAGGCAGGCUGGUGGGACCAGACAAUCCUGUGAGCUGAGGUGAUGCUCUGCUCCCUGUGGACCACGCCAGAGCUGCCUGUGGGUGUCCAGUGCCCUAUGCUGUGUUGUGAAGACUACAUAAGGAAAAAACUGCAGCGCUGGGAACUGCCCCUCAUGUGUAACAUGUGUCCGGCUCUUCUUCAGGAUGGAUGCUCAGUCUUUUAUACCCCUGGGGGUUACAUCAGCCCUCUCAAAGUCUGCCUGUCAGCUCUUCUUUGCCAUUUAUCGGUGGAAUUGCUUUCUUGUAACUUGAUUGGAGCUCAGGUGUUGCCAUGCCGCACCCCCUAAGAGCCAAGCUUUUCCAUUCCCAACUGCCCCAGGUAAGGGACACAUGUGCACGCCUUCUUUUCACUUAUCCUAGACAACCCCGGCUGUCUGAUGGCAACAAUACAGGGGGAAAAGGGAACUAUGGGGAAAACAGAAGACAUCUAAACUACAAUACCACAACUAUAUAUCACUAAAGCUUUUCUUAAUAUUCACACAAUCGUUAUCUUUUAAUUGCGAGAGCCAAGCAUCUAAUUAUCCAUCUAGAACACCAAGAAAAAAUCCCUGGGGAGCCGGGCCUCCUCUGGGGUUGGGAAAUGUUAAGGAAAAAAAAAAAAAAAAGUGCCCACAAAGUGCCAAGGGGAAUUCCACAGCGCUGGAGGAAGGCUUGGUGAGGAGAUGCAGAGGUUCGGGGCGGGGAGCAGCGCUUUGCUGGGGCAGUGUUUUAUCCCUGUUCCCAGCGCUGGGCUCAGUGGGUGCUGGGCUGCCGGGUGGUUUUCGUCUCCCGGACCGCAAUCCUGCCGUUCCCCGCUGCUCCUCGCUGCCUGCCGUGUUUACAGAGCAGCUCUGUAUGGGAUGCUCCACGCGUGACUCACCCGCAGCAGUGCCCGGACCUUGGCGGAGCUGAGUUGUUAAAGCUGAAACCUUCCCUUCCCUGACUCUGCAGAAGAGCCGGGCUCCGCUGCACUGACCUGUUGACAAGACUGCGCUUGUUUUUCUUUGUUAUUCUUGUUUGUCUUGCCAGAAAUCCUGUGCGGGAAUGUUCCUAAGAAUCAUUCUAGCCCGGAUCUGAAUUUCUGAGCAGGGAAACGACGAGUUUGGGACGAGCUGGGCGCUGCUGUGCUUGUGCUGUCGGGGGAGUCUCCCGCCUGUCGGUGAGGCUGCACUGCCUCCCCUCCUCUCCAUCUCCUCAGUGUGGACCAGCGCUCUGUAAAAACCUCCAAAAUCAGCUGCACCACACACCCAGGAGGCACCAGACUUACACCUUUGUCUUUCACAGCUGAAGAUAUGUGCUAGACAUUUCUAAACCUCACCCAAUAAAUGUCACCACAGUGCUUUUCACCUUUU